GACGAACGCUGGCGGCGUGCCUAACACAUGCAAGUCGAACGAACCUUUCGGGCAUAUUUGCUCAUGGGUGCGUAUCGUGUCGGAAUCUUCACUUGGGUUUGGCCUAACUGUCAGAAAUUGCUGCUUAUACCAGAUGAUGUCUUCCUACGAAAGAUUUAUCGCACCGGGCUGAGCCCGCGUAAAAUUAGCUGGUUGGUUUGGUAAUGGCCUAACAAGGCGACGAUGCUUAGCUGGGCUGAGAGGCUGCUCAGCCACACUGGGAUUGAGACACGGCCCAGACUCCUACGGGAGGCAGCAGUGGGGAAUAUUGGACAAUGGGCGAAAGCCUGAACGAGCAAGGACGCGUGAGGGAUGAAGGUCGUAGGGUAGUAAAGCGUUUUUACCUAGGAAGAUAAUGACGGUACCGGAAGAAUAAGCCCCGGCUAACUACGUG
rnacentral:rRNA from 1 species